AAAUUGAAGAGUUUGAUCAUGGCUCAGAUUGAACGCUGGCGGCAAGCCUAACACAUGCAAGUCGAGCGGCAGCGAAAAAAGAAAGCUUGCUUUCUUUUUGUCGGCGAGCGGCAAACGGGUGAGUAAUAUCUGGGAAUCUACCUGAAAAAGAGGAACAACUACUGGAAACGGUAGCUAAUACCGCAUAAUGUUUUUUUGUAAAAAAAAACCAAAGCAGGGGACUUUUUGAAAAAAAAGCCUUGCGUUUUUAGAUGAGCCCAGACGAGAUUAGCUUGAUGGUAAGGUAAUGGCUUACCAAGGCAACGAUCUCUAGCUGGUCUGAGAGGACAACCAGCCACACUGGAACUGAGACACGGUCCAGACUCCUACGGGAGGCAGCAGUGGGGAAUAUUGCACAAUGGGCGAAAGCCUGAUGCAGCUAUGCCGCGUGUAUGAAGAAGGCCUUAGGGUUGUAAAGUACUUUCAGCAGGAAAGAAAGGACGUAAAAAUAAUACGUUUACGUCUGUGACGUUACCUGCAAAAGAAGCACCGGCUAACUCCGUGCCAGCAGCCGCGGUAAUACGGAGGGUGCAAGCGUUAAUCAGAAUUACUGGGCGUAAAGAGCGCGUAGGUUGUUUAUUAAGUCAGAUGUGAAAUACCUGAGCUUAACUUAGGAACUGCAUUUGAAACUAAUAAACUGGAGUAUUGUAGAGGGAGGUAGAAUUCUAGGUGUAGCGGUGAAAUGCGUAGAUAUCUGGAGGAAUACCUGUGGCGAAAGCGACCUCCUAAACAAAUACUGACACUGAGGUGCGAAAGCAUGGGGAGCAAACAGGAUUAGAUACCCUGGUAGUCCAUGCUGUAAACGAUGUCGACUUGGAGGUUGUUUCCAAGAGAAAUGGCUUCCGAAGCUAACGCAUUAAGUCGACCGCCUGGGGAGUACGGCCGCAAGGCUAAAACUCAAAUGAAUUGACGGGGGCCCGCACAAGCGGUGGAGCAUGUGGUUUAAUUCGAUGCAACGCGAAAAACCUUACCUGGUCUUGACAUCCAUAAAAUAUUCUAGAAACAGAGUAGUGCCUUCGGGAAUUAUGAGACAGGUGCUGCAUGGCUGUCGUCAGCUCGUGUUGUGAAAUGUUGGGUUAAGUCCCGCAACGAGCGCAACCCUUAUCCCCUGUUGCCAGCGGUUCGGCCGGGAACUCAGAGGAGACCGCCGGUUAUAAACCGGAGGAAGGUGGGGACGACGUCAAGUCAUCAUGGCCCUUACGACCAGGGCUACACACGUGCUACAAUGGUGUAUACAAAGAGAUGCUAAUCUGCGAAGACAUGCUAAACUCAUAAAGUACAUCGUAGUCCGGACUGGAGUCUGCAACUCGACUCCACGAAGUAGGAAUCGCUAGUAAUCGUGGAUCAGAAUGUCACGGUGAAUACGUUCCCGGGCCUUGUACACACCGCCCGUCACACCAUGGGAGUGGGUUGCAAAAGAAGCAAAUUGCUUAACUUGUAAUGAUAAUAAAAUCAAGAGGGCGUUUACCACUUUGUGAUUCAUGACUGGGGUGAAGUCGUAACAAGGUAACCGUAGGGGAACCUGCGGUUGGAUCACCUCCUUAC
rnacentral:rRNA from 1 species